rnacentral:rRNA from 1 species
UACGUAGGGUGCAAGCGUUAAUCGGAAUUACUGGGCGUAAAGCGUGCGCAGGUGGUUGUGCAAGACAGAUGUGAAAUCCCCGGGCUCAACCUGGGAAUUGCAGUGGAUACUGGCAGGCUGGAGUAUGGUAGAGGAAGGUGGAAUUCCCGGUGUAGCAGUGAAAUGCGUAGAGAUCGGGAGGAACACCAGUGGCGAAGGCGGCCAUCUGGGACAACACUGACGCUGAAGCACGAAAGCGUGGGGAGCAAACAGG